GACGAACGCUGGCGGCGUGCCUAAUACAUGCAAGUAGAACGCUGAAGGAGGAGCUUGCUUCUCUGGAUGAGUUGCGAACGGGUGAGUAACGCGUAGGUAACCUGCCUGGUAGCGGGGGAUAACUAUUGGAAACGAUAGCUAAUACCGCAUAAUAGUAGAUGUUGCAUGACAUUUGCUUAAAAGGUGCAAUUGCAUCACUACCAGAUGGACCUGCGUUGUAUUAGCUAGUUGGUGAGGUAACGGCUCACCAAGGCAACGAUACAUAGCCGACCUGAGAGGGUGAUCGGCCACACUGGGACUGAGACACGGCCCAGACUCCUACGGGAGGCAGCAGUAGGGAAUCUUCGGCAAUGGACGGAAGUCUGACCGAGCAACGCCGCGUGAGUGAAGAAGGUUUUCGGAUCGUAAAGCUCUGUUGUAAGAGAAGAACGAGUGCGAGAGUGGAAAGUUCACACUGUGACGGUAUCUUACCAGAAAGGGACGGCUAACUACGU
rnacentral:rRNA from 1 species